rnacentral:rRNA from 1 species
GAUGAACGCUAGCGGCAGGCUUAACACAUGCAAGUCGAGGGGCAGCAUGAGACGGAGAUUCGUCGAAGUCUUGAUGGCGACCGGCGCAAGGGUGCGUAACGCGUGAGCAACUUGCCCGUUUCAGGGGGAUAACCGGUGGAAACGCCGACUAAUACCCCAUAGUAUGUUUUUAAGGUCAUCUUUUAAACUAUUAAAGAAUUUAAAGACUCCGGCGGAUACGGAUUGACUCGCGUGACAUUAGCUAGAUGGUAAGGUAGCGGCUUACCAUGGCGACGAUGUCUAGGGGAACUGAGAGGUCGGUCCCCCACACUGGAACUGAGACACGGUCCAGACUCCUACGGGAGGCAGCAGUGAGGAAUAUU